rnacentral:rRNA from 1 species
UACGUAGGGCGCAAGCGUUAUCCGGAAUUAUUGGGCGUAAAGAGCCUCGUGAGCGGUUUGUCGCGUCUGCUGUGAAAACUCGGGGCUUAACCCCGGGCCUGCAGUGGGUACGGGCAGACUAGAGUGCGGUAGGGGAGACUGGAAUUCCUGGUGUAGCGGUGAAAUGCGCAGAUAUCGGGAGGAACACCGAUGGCGAAGGCAGCACUCUGGGCCGGUACUGACACUCAUGGACGAAAGCUAGGGGAGCGAAUGGG